rnacentral:rRNA from 1 species
UACGUAGGGUGCGAGCGUUAAUCGGAAUUACUGGGCGUAAAGCGUGCGCAGGCGGUUUUAUAAGCCAGAUGUGAAAGCCCCGGGCUCAACCUGGGAAUGGCAUUUGGGGCUGUAAGGCUGGAGUAUGGCAGAGGGGACUAGAAUUCCUGGUGUAGCAGUGAAAUGCGUAGAUAUCAGGAGGAAUACCGAUGGCGAAGGCAGGUCCCUGGGCCAAUACUGACGCUCAUGCACGAAAGCGUGGGGAGCAAACAGG